rnacentral:misc_RNA from 1 species
GAUGAAGAACGUAGCGAAAUGCGAUACGUAAUGUGAAUUGCAGAUUUCAGUGAAUCAUCGAAUCUUUGAACGCACAUUGCGCCCGCUAGUAUUCUGGCGGGCAUGCCUGUUCGAGCGUCAUUUCAACCAUCAAGCCCCCGGCUUGCGUUGGAGCCCUGCGGCUGCCGCAGGCUCCCAAAUCCAGUGGCGGGCUCGUCGUCGUACCGAGUGCAGCAAACAUCCUCGCUCAGGGAACGUGACGGGUUCUUGCCGUGAAACCCCCCACAUAUCAAGGUUGACCUCGGAUCAGGUAGGAAUACCCGCUGAACUUAAGCAUAUCAAUAAGCGGAGGA